rnacentral:rRNA from 1 species
AGUAUUAGAGGCACUGCCUGCCCAGUGACAAACGUUAAACGGCCGCGGUAUUCUGACCGUGCAAAGGUAGCAUAAUCACUUGUUCUCCAAAUAAGGACUUGUAUGAAUGGCCACACGAGGGUUUUACUGUCUCUUACUUUUAAUCAGUGAAAUUGACCUUCCCGUGAAGAGGCGGGAAUAAUAUAAUAAGACGAGAAGACCCUAUGGAGCUUCAAUUAAUUAACCCAAAUAGCCACAAACUAAUACCAUCAAGGGAUAUAAAACUUUAUAUGGGUUAACAAUUUCGGUUGGGGUGACCUCGGAGCACAAAAAAUCCUCCGAGUGAUUAAAGCCUAGGCCUACCAGCCAAAGCAUACUAUCACUUAUUGAUCCAAAAUUUUUGAUCAACGGAACAAGUUACCCUAGGGAUAACAGCGCAAUCCUAUUCUAGAGUCCAUAUCAACAAUAGGGUUUACGACCUCGAUGUUGGAUCAGGACAUCCUAAUGGUGCAGCCGCUAUUAAGGGUUCGUUUGUU